GGAUGAAGAACGUAGCGAAAUGCGAUAAGUAAUGUGAAUUGCAGAAUUCAGUGAAUCAUCGAAUCUUUGAACGCAUCUUGCGCUCCUUGGUAUUCUGAGGAGCAUGCCUGUUUGAGUGUCAUUAAAUUCUCAACCGCACUGACUUUGAAUUGGUGUGGCUUGGAUUUGGGGGGAAAAUUGUUGUGGGCUUUUUUGUAUAGUCUGCUCCCCUGAAAUUGAUUAGCGGUACCUUUGUGGAACUGUCUACAGGUGUGAUAAUUAUCUACAUCCUAGACAUCUGCUGGAAUGCUGCUUUCUAAACCUUACUUGUAUUGACAAUCUUGACCUCAAAUCAGGUAGGACUACCCGCUGAACUUAAGCAUAUCAAUAAGCGGAGGA
rnacentral:misc_RNA from 1 species